CAGCCAAACCCCUGCCUUACUGACCUCUCCCCUGGAGGAGCAGGAGGAGCGCUCGAGGCCGCCCUGGGAGGGCUGAGAGGCAGGCUCUGGACUGGGGACACAGGGAUAGCUGAGCCCCAGCUGGGGGUGGAAGCUGAGCCAGGGACAGUCACGGAGGAAGAAGAUCAAGAUGCGCUUUAACUGAGAAGCCCCCAAGGCAGAGGCUGAGAAUCAGAAGACAUUUCAGGAGACAUCUACAAAUCUGAAGGACAAAACAUGGUUCAAGCAUCUGGGCACAGGCGAACAUACAUAUGAUAGUUGAGAAAGACACAUAUUCUGAUCAUGAAGAAAUAAACACAAGUUAAAUAUGACUAAGCAGAAAGAUGGAAGGACCAGGAACGGUGAUGCUAACUUGGAACCACGAUGCAGGCUCUAAACUCCUCUAAAAUCAUCCUCCCUUGUGAGAAAAAUACAUAAAUCUAAGGCACAUGAGAUGAUAUGCUUUCUGUUUGAGUUUCUCCUUUAUGUUACGCAUACUGAUAAAACUGUUGAUGCCAGUUGAUCUGAAGGUCCCAGCAAGGAGCCGACUCACGGAAGAAUGCAGUUUUCACAUCGUGAUGAUUUAAUCUUCCUUGACCUGACCAAUUGACAACCCCAAUUCUCCAGACCCUCACCCGCCACAAUCCCCUUAAAAACCCUGGCCCAGAACCCCUCAAGCAGACAGAUUUGAAGCUUGAGGAUUCCUUCAUCUCUUUGCCCAAUGGCAUUGUGAUUAUUAAACUCUUUUUCUGCUGCAAAUUAUGAUGUCUCAGUGUAUUGGUCUAUUGCUGCUCAGUGGGC
rnacentral:lncRNA from 1 species